UAGGGAAUCUUCCACAAUGGACGCAAGNUUGAUGGAGCAACGCCGCGUGAGUGAAGAAGGUUUUCGGAUCGUAAAGCUCUGUUGUUGGUGAAGAAGGAUAGAGGUAGUAACUGGCCUUUAUUUGACGGUAAUCAACCAGAAAGUCACGGCUAACUACGUGCCAGCAGCCGCGGUAAUACGUAGGUGGCAAGCGUUGUCCGGAUUUAUUGGGCGUAAAGCGAGCGCAGGCGGAAAAAUAAGUCUAAUGUGAAAGCCCUCGGCUUAACCGAGGAACUGCAUCGGAAACUGUUUUUCUUGAGUGCAGAAGAGGAGAGUGGAACUCCAUGUGUAGCGGUGGAAUGCGUAGAUAUAUGGAAGAACACCAGUGGCGAAGGCGGCUCUCUGGUCUGCAACUGACGCUGAGGCUCGAAAGCAUGGGUAGCAAACAGGAUUAGAUACCCUGGUAGUCCACGCUGUAAACGCUGUCGAUUUGGGGGUUGGGGUUUAACUUUGGCGCCCGUAGCUAACGUGAUNNUCGACCGCCUGGGGAGUACGGCCGCAAGGUUA
rnacentral:rRNA from 1 species